GGCAGCAGUGGGGAAUCUUCGGCAAUGGGCGAAAGCCUGACCGAGCAACGCCGCGUGAAUGAUGAAGGCCUUCGGGUUGUAAAAUUCUGUUAUAAGGGAAGAACGACUUUAGUAGGAAAUGGCUAGAGUGUGACGGUACCUUAUGAGAAAGCCACGGCUAACUACGUGCCAGCAGCCGCGGUAAUACGUAGGUGGCGAGCGUUAUCCGGAAUUAUUGGGCGUAAAGAGCGCGCAGGUGGUUGAUUAAGUCUGAUGUGAAAGCCCACGGCUUAACCGUGGAGGGUCAUUGGAAACUGGUCGACUUGAGUGCAGAAGAGGGAAGUGGAAUUCCAUGUGUAGCGGUGAAAUGCGUAGAGAUAUGGAGGAACACCAGUGGCGAAGGCGGCUUCCUGGUCUGUAACUGACACUGAGGCGCGAAAGCGCGGGGAGCAAACAGGAUUAGAUACCCUGGUAGUCCACGCCGUAAACGAUGAGUACUAAGUGU
rnacentral:rRNA from 1 species